ACACCAGGGGUGGAGCCUGUGGCUUAAUUUGAAUCAACACGGGGGAAACUUACCAGGACCAGAUGUUUUUUAUGACUGACAGGCUUCGGGUCUUUCAGGAUAUUGUUUUUGGUGGUGCAUGGCCGUUGGUGGUGCGUGGGUUGACCUGUCUAGCGUUGAUUCAGCUAACGAGCGAGAUUAUCGCCAAUUAUUUACUUUGCCGAAGUCCUUCGGUUAAAGUUCUAAUUGGGACUCCCUGCGAUUUUAGCAGGUGGAAGAGGGUAGCAAUAACAGGUCCGUGAUGCCCUUUAGAUGCUCUGGGCUGCACGCGUGCUACAAUGUUAGGAUCAAUAGGACUGCGAGCCUGAGAGGGUGCGCUACUCUUAUAAUCCCUAACGUAGUUGGGAUUGACGUUUGUAAUCAGCGUCAUGAACCAGGAAUCCCUUGUAAAUGUGUGUCAACAACGCACGUUGAAUACGUCCCUGCCCUUUGUACACACCGCCCGUCGCUCCUACCGAUUGGAUGACUCGGUGAAAUCACCGGAUGCUUACGAGCAGAAAGUGAUUAAAUCACGUUAUCUAGAGGAAGGAGAAGUCGUAACAAGGUAACGGUAGGUGAACCUGCCGUUGGAUCAGUU
rnacentral:ncRNA from 1 species